CUUACCAUACGAACGAACAUUUUUAAUUCAAUUCUCCCAAUUAAUUCAUAUAAAUUUCCAUCUAUAUAUUACAAGAUCGUUCUAAAAGGAAAAAUUUUAUCGGCAUGUUUCGAAAUUCGACACGUGUCUAUCGAUAUAAAGCUCGAAAUCGAGGUAGAUUGCGACUUUUCACGCGGAAAUCGCGCUAUUUUUACCGAAGGGACUCUCAAUAAUUCAACACAUUUCCGCCAGGGUCUCAACGUUCGCCCGAUUCUUCUCCUCGGUUUCGCGCCUCAAUCUUUCCGGAUCGAGCGGACAUGUUUUAUUCACCGAGUAACCUCUAUCGUGUUCUCAAGUCACUUCUCGUGUGACCGAUUUAACGAAUUUCUUGCAUUUUCGGUUUGGAUGAUCUGUUUUUUGGUUUUUGGAAUUGGAAAUUUGUCGACACGAUUUUACAUAAUGAUUUCGUCAAAAUGAUGUUUGAGAAGAUGUUUGACUAAACCAGUUUACGAAAUGUAAUUUAAUGACAUUCUUGAGAAACGUAUGGUAUUGAUUAAGAAUUUGAGACCCCUUGCUGUGCCAAGAAGAGGUUUCUUUAGUAGGGGUAGUUCGAUAAUUCAGCUGUAUCUAUACAAGGCUUCUCACGAGAUCACCGAAAAUUUCACUGCUUGUUUUUUUAGAAAAUAGAAGAAGAAUUAUUAAGAAUACAUUUCAACCAAAAAAAAAAAAAAAUUUCAAUUAAAUUAAAACAAAGAAUACCUGCAACUCGUAUACGUGCGAGGGACGACUGUGUUCAUAAAAAUCCCCGUAAACGCGAACAGUCGGCAUUUUUACGGCUUCGUCGCAUACCAUAAAACUAGACAAUUUUUCUACCUACGAGCCCUGAACGUGAAGCAUCGAGUAUCGAUAUCAUUCGAAAAUUGACGUUUUUAUAUAUUUACGAGGUUGCACUCAAUCGAUAAUCGAUACACUCGAACGAAGUUGAAAUCGAACCAAUAAAAUUGACCAUGAUUUUCGACCUAUAUGAAAUAGCUGAAUUUGAUUAAAAGUGAAGGGAUUUCUUCUUUUUGGACGAAGGAAAAUGGAUUGUUUACACGGAAAUAAAAAUAAAAGUUUUUGAUUAUUGAUCGAAAGUUUCGAAAAGGUUAAGUUAAAAUUUCGCACGAAAGAAAGAAGUUACUUUGAAAUUGCGUGAAACUGCAAGAAUUUUCUUCUUUGAAUGCAAAUAAAAAAAAGAAGAAACGGCAUACCGGAGUUUCAGUUACGUUCGAGCGCAUCGCGAAACAUUGGCUGUACAUUGGAUGAUCGAUAGAGUUAAUAUUGACGUCUAUUGUUUCCGCAAGAUAACCGAAAAGAACGCGAGGAAAACGCAUACCCACACACGAUAUCAAACCGAUCGGACAGCGGUGGAAGGUGCGAUAAUUAAUUUUCUCGCGGCAAAUUUCCAUGCUGGGAUGUAUCCCAUAUCCCAGUGAAAUUUUAUUGAUAUUAAUGCUUCCAGUUGAGUUAAUAUAUCGACUUUGACACGAAAUGGAAUUCGCGCGAAUUUUAAAUAAAAUGCAAUCGAGGAAAUUUAUUAUUGUUCGUUAAAUUCGUUAUUGACAUUCUUUUACGCGAUAUAUUAAAUUUCAAAGCUUUCUGCAAACAAUUUUAUAAAUUCGUUGUGCGCGUAGAAAAAUUUUAAUCGACCAAUUUGAUAAGUUUUAUGAAGAUAUAAAUAUAUUUAUAGUUCAAAACAUAGUAACGAGGAAUAUAUUUAUUUAUACUUUAUCAAUUAUGAUUGGAAACGGUUUCUUAUCUCAAAUCUUGCCAUUUAGAUAAGAAAAAUUUCCCCAAAUGAAUGAAAAUGCAAAUGAAAUUACAAACAUCUUCGAAAAUUCCUUUUAAAGGGAGGGAGAUAAAAAUUCCUUUCCAAUCUUUUCUUCAAUAAACAAUUAUUUCUUCCAAUCGCACCAUUUCCACCGGCUGUCCAAUGUGUCCCGUACGUCGUAUAAGGUUGAAAAAUUGGGGGAUCGUGUGGGGUUGUGGAAUGGGUUAAAAAAAAAAAAAAAAAAAAAAAAAAAGGAAGAAGAAAUUAAAAAAGAAAAAAAAUAUACGUA